rnacentral:rRNA from 1 species
AACGAGUCGAUUUCGUACUUGGCCGAGAGGCCUGGUUAAUCUUCUGAAAUCCUAGCGUGCUUGGGCUUGCCUCUUGCAACUAGAGGCACCAACGAGGAAUUCCUAGUAGACGCAGGUCAUCAACCUGCAUCGAUUACGUCCCUGCCCUUUGUACACACCGCCCGUCGCUUCUACCGAUUGGUCGUCCCGGUGAACAAUCGGGAGGCCGUGCUCAUGGUCAGCAAUGGCCGGAGCGCGGUUGAACUUUUGUAAAUUUGGACGACUAGAGGAAGAAGAAGUCGUAACAAGGUUUCCGUAGGUGAACCUGCGGA